rnacentral:rRNA from 1 species
CGGGUGCACUGAUCCAGCCGGGCCUUUCCCUCUGUGGAACCCCAUGGCCUUCACUGGCUGUGGUGGGGAAACAGGACUUUUACUUUGAAAAAAUUAGAGUGCUCCAGGCAGGCCUAUGCUCGAAUACAUUAGCAUGGAAUAAUAGAAUAGGACGUGUGGUUCUAUUUUGUUGGUUUCUAGGACCGCCGUAAUGAUUAAUAGGGACAGUCGGGGGCAUCAGUAUUCAAUUGUCAGAGGUGAAAUUCUUGGAUCUAUUGAAGACUAACUACUGCGAAAGCAUUUGCCAAGGAUGUUUUCAUUGAUAAGGAACGAAAGUUAGGGGAUCGAAGACGAUCAGAUACCGUCGUAGUCUUAACUAUAAACUAUGCCGACUAGGGAUCGGGCGAUGUUAUUCUUUGACGCGUUCGGCACCUUUCGAGAAAUCAAAGUGCUUGGGCUCCAGGGGGAGUAUGGUCGCAAGGCUGAAACUUAAAGAAAUUGACGGAAGGGCACCACCAGGGGUGGAACCUGCGGCUUAAUUUGACUCAACACGGGGAAACUCACCAGGUCCAGACACAGUGAGGAUUGACAGAUUGAGAGCUCUUUCUUGAUUCUGUGGGUGGUGGUGCAUGGCCGUUCUUAGUUGGUGGAGUGAUUUGUCUGCUUAAUUGCGAUAACGAACGAGACCUUAACCUGCUAAAUAGCCCGUACUGCUUUGGCAGUUCGCCGGCUUCUUAGAGGGACUAUCGG